rnacentral:lncRNA from 1 species
AUGACGUGUUUAAAAGCUCUUUUGUGUGGUGUUGAUGGCAGUGAUUUGGACAACGGGAGAGGUGCCGGUGAGAUCGAAGGAACUGAGAUCGGCGAACUUGUUAAGAUCGAUUAUAUGCUCCUGUUUGAUGGACACCAUGCCGUGGUCGCUGAGAAGAAAAACGUUGACCUUAUCCUGAAGCCCAUGAGCCGCGAGUUGAUCGUGGAUAUACUUGGCCGCCUGAUCGCAUUGCUGGAUCUGCGCUUUGAACGAGGGGUCGUUGAUACCUAACCGGUGGCCUACCAGAUCUAGGUUGUCAAAUAAGCCAUGAUAAAGUUAGCCGGUGCCGCGGAAUUCAAGAACCAUGAGAUGACUGUAUCAGCUCGUCUGGUCCAGUUAAAGGACAUGUCGUAGGGUUGCACAUGGGUUGGUUUCACUCCCUGGUAUGGAAAUUCUCCUCCCGGCCACAUCAUCGAACCACUAUGUCGUCCGUUUCCUGCUCUUUCGUUCAGCGUCUAACAAACAGUCAAAUUAUGCAUGAAUGCCUCGAAAAUAUGUAAAAAAAACACUAGUAAAUCGAUGGCUUAAGAUAUUUUAAAAAAUUAAGGUAUCUGUGAAUUCAGUGCUAAAGUUCCUUUGGAUAUGAUUUUUAAUGAAACGAUACCCCGGUGAGUGCGUAUUGCAGGUGCCAAUCUAAAACUUGUUUGAAGGCAUAAAAAAGACACUGUGAAACAUGGGUCCCUUUCAUGUCAAGGGAGGAUGGAGAUCUUAUCGUUAUAAGGCACUAACCUGUUUUUUUUAUAAAUAAAUAAUUUUCCUCGUACCGUGAGGCAAUUAAAUGGAUAAUGCACCAUUGAAAAAGCAUGCAUUCAGAAAGGCAGCAUAUCGACGGUGAAACUACCAAACCACGUAUCUCGGUUUGCGACGUUGCAGACUUCCUGUCAUACUUUAUUUUUUAAAUGAAAAACUACUUAACGUCCAGUCUUGAAAAUUUCUGUGAUUUUUCCUCUUCGUGCGGAGAAAAUUCUGUGAAAAUUUCAAGGAAUGAUAUUGAUUUGGCCUACUUCAAAAAAAUAAAAUGCGAGCGUAGAUUUUUAAACACCGCAAACGAGAUACGUGGUUUGGUAGUUUCACCGUCAAUAUGUGAUGCACAUUUUCUUCAAAUUACUUUCAUCUGAAAUCUUAAUAUUAGGUAGUUUAAAUCACAUAACGCGUGGUCCUUUUGCUGCCUUUCUUCGGAAACUAGCCCCCAUGGAAGGCGACAAAGCUAUCUGUCUGAAAGUGGACAGGGCUGAGUGUUACAGGAAUGCAUGGAAAAAUACAUAAAUGAAUAAAGUUUGAAAGGAAGUUGCUAAAUACCUACCCAUAUGGGCACAACGUCCUCAUUAUAAUCGAAUAGCGCGUUGGAAUAUUUAUGAGAUCGAUUGUUGUAAAACACAGAGUUUGCAAGAACUCCAUGAUCCUCAGCGUAAACGCCAGUUGCUAUCGAAAAAUGAACUGGCAAAGUUUUGGUCGGAAAAAUGUUCUUCAUAUAUUUCGUUCGAACUCCAAGCUGGGACAAGGCGAACAAAUUUGGGGUGGCACUUUAUUGACGAAAUCAUGCCUUAAAGAAUCAAAUGAAACCACUAGAACUAGAGGAUGUUUAGAGACACUUGAAACUAUUUUCAGAAACGAGUAAAAGAGUAUGAGGACGAUUGGAAACAUUCUGGGAAAGCCACUUCAUGAAAACUGGAACAUAGGCUGUGAGCUGGAUAAAUCAACUGUUCAUUUGCUGAUCAAUCGCUUGACUCUACGUAGAUAUACUUAACCUCGACGGACCUUAAUCUAGACUAUAAACGUGUUUCUUUAAAUACGCGGAGAUAAGGUCGUUGUGAUGGAUUGGAAGUAAUGAUGUUGUCCGAAGAAUUCCCUUCAAUUCGUAAAGUAGGCAAGAAAAUAUCCGCAAAAGUUGUAGUUAUCUAUCCGAGUUUUUCAACGUCUCGCGGGGCGUGUUGUGCCUGUUGCGAAUAAAAUCUACGAAUAUUAAACCUGUGCCAACUGCAGAAAAAGUCUUUCAAAAAACUUCACGGACACAUUCUUCAUAUAAAAUAUGGGGUGGCACUUUUAUUGAGGCAAUCGUGUCAGAAGGAAUCAAAUGAAACCACUGGAACAAGGGGUACUUCAAAUUUUAUCCGGCUACGCUACAUAUCCCACACAAUUCCCCACAAUUUUUAAAUUUUACGGGAGAAACGGGGUCCAACGAGUGUUACGUAAUUAUUAGGGGGCUGUCCGGGGUUGCGUCGGGGGGGUGGGGUGCAAACAUGUCGAAAAAUUGCUUUACGCAAUUCACGAGCGCUCCCUUACAUUUCAUGUUUACAUAUGCAGCGAAAAACUAUUCGCUUGGUAAGGGUGCAACUUGACGUUUUUCCCUCACAUUGUGGCCGUCCCUAAAUUACGUAAUGUACUUUUUCGGCAUUUGUGACACCUCCCCUCCCCUUCGCAACUCUUUUAUGAAAUAUGACGUGGGUCCCUAUCCUUUAACACGUCAAAACAAAAUGGCGUAACGUUUUCUUCGCCCCCCUUCUUCAAGAGUUAUGUAAUUUAGAGAGGGCCCCUUUACUGGUCUUUACCUCGUCGAUAUUCUAACUAUGCUAUUUGUUAUUUACUUUGAAAUAAAAUUCCCUCUGCUGAGAAAAUUCUAAGUCUUAUUUCUAUUAAUUAUCUUCUAUUCAUUGUUGGCUCGUGCUUUUGUCGCGAGUCGGCUCCACC